rnacentral:lncRNA from 1 species
AAAGAUAACACAAGAUUUAAUUAUGUAUAUUUCACAGUAAAACUAUAAACAGACACAUUUUUUUUUCUUUCCUUCAUAUGCUUUUUAUUGAGGAGAAUCUUCUAUUUUCAUUUAUUGUCUUUAGACAAUGCACAUUCUCCACGCGCGUUUCUUUGAAAUUUAUUAGAAAAAGGAUCGUUGAAGUAUUAUCCUGUAUAUUUUCAUAUGUGCAUCUAUUAUAUAUCUUAGAUAUGGAUAUUGGAGAAUUUGACUUUUCAGAAUCAUUAUCAUAUGUGUAUAGAUAUUAGAGAAGUCAAAUGUUCAAAAUCAUUAUCACAUGUGUCUUCCAUGUGUAUAGAAAUGUUGGUAGAAAUAAAUUCAUUCUUGGAGGGAGGGAAGAUAUAGCUCGUCGUUGAGGGUGAGAGGGUUUCUCCACAACUUUAUUUAAUUUUUAUGUCAAAGAUGCCGAAAUUUGUAUCAUUACAUUUCUAUCGCUUCGUUACCCCAAAAGCAAAAUCAAAAUAAGCACUCAAUCAAAAUCAUCCAUACUAAGUAAGCAUAUGUCCAACCAGAAGAAAUGUUACACAAACCUAACCAGUGCAUAAAUAAAAAUAUUCGGACAUAAUAGUGAAAAAAGCAAUGUUAUUUGAAUACAAUAUUAAACACAAAUACUUGUGGCCUCCACACAAUCUCUCUUUUCAUUAGAUUUCUUCCCUUUUUUUACUUUCUCCAUUUUUUUACUUUCCUUUUUUAGUAUUUUUUUUGUCUUCCUCUACAAAAAUAAAUACAUUUAUCUUUCCUUUCUUUCAUAAUUCUUCCUUUUUUUCUUUUAUUUACAUAUUUUAAUCAAAUUUAUGAUGAAGUAACUUGACUAACUUUAUCUCCUCACUUGCAAGGUAAUUUAGUACAUUGUUUUGCUUAGAUAUGAAUUUUCUUUUUUUGGAUUCAUACACGUUUUCUAGGUUCAUACCUCAUUUUUCUGCUUCUGGUUAAUAAUAUAAACAUUAUUGGUUAAUGAAGUACAAUAGGUGGUUAAUAACUUAUUUUUGUUUAAAAAUUAGGGUUGUGAACUAUUAAUCAAUUAUGUCAAUUAUUUUUGUCUAAAUAUUAAGUUUCAUCACUUUUAAUCAAUUAUGUUAAUCAGAUUUGAAUUGUUAAGUUUCAUAUUAUGUGAUUAGUAGUGUUUUAAUUCUGAGCCUUUCUGAUUUUUUAUUUCUGGUUAAUAGUGUAAAUAUUAUUGGUUAGUGAAGUACAAUAGGUGGUUAAUAAUCAGACUGAAUUAUUUUUUGUAGUUUUUGUGUGACAUUUGCACUAUCAAUUGAAACUUCAUGGAUUGUGGUAUUAUGGAAGAUAAAGAUAUCAGAGUUGACAUUUGUACUAUCAAUUAAACUUCAUGGUUAAUGUUCUGAACAACUUGGUUAAUGAAUUUGAAAUGAAAACUUGACAUUCUAAUCAAACAAGAUAUAAAUCUCGUUAAUGACUUAAAACAAUAUGGUUAAUUCUUGAUCAUUCUCCUUCUCCUUCUCGUUCUCCUUAAAUCUUUUGAGAGUAAACUAAUUGGUGUAUGCAGGUAAGAGUAGACUAUGUUUAACCAUAACCAUAUGAUGUGAUACAUUAAGUCAUCGUAACAAUUGUGAUAUAUCAAAUGCUUUUUUUUUUCCAAUGCACUUUUGGAAAAUGACUUUUUCACAUGUUUGUUGUACCACUAACCUAAUCUUUCUUCCUUAUCUUUUUAAUUUCAUCAGCUUCCUUUUUAGCAAUAUCAAAAUUAUUAAAUUUUAACAAACAAUAAGUGUUAACUUUAACUAAGUGAAUCAUAAAUAAAAUAAAAUAAAUAUAUUCAAUUAUAUAUUGAAGUUCAUAAUCUAUUGCUUUCACCCACGAGUGAUGAAUCUUUCUGCAACAUUUUCUAUUUUUAUCCUACAAAUUCCAAAUGCAUAUCUUAUUUACAUGAUAGACUAAAUGCAAUAAAUAUAAUAGAUAUUUUAUUCUUAUUUACAUUUAUAAUAUUAGAUAUGUCUAUAAAAUAAAUUACUCACUAACUACAAAUAUUUAAAUCAUAUUUAAAACAAAUUGUUAGAAUAACAAUUUCUCUCUCUUUUUUCAUCAAACAUGGUUUUACAAACAAAGAAAAAAACAAUGCUAAUGUUUUGCAAGGAAAAAAUAGUAUGGAUUUAAGCAUUUAUAAUCUACAUAACAUUCAAAUUGCGUCAACAAUAAUAAUAUAAUUCAGAUAUUAUUGAAGAUAAAAUUGUCCAAAACAUAUUAAUUGAUUGAAUAGAAAUAAAAAAACAAUUAAUCCACUAUCUCAGCCACAAAUUUAAUUUAAAACUCGCUCUUGGGCACUCGCUCGACGACAGUAAUAUAGGCAAUUUCAAUUGCUUCUUUUGUUGGGUCAAAUUUCCAUGACAUAAAACCUGUAUAACCGCAAGAAGUUAAAAUUCAAAGGAAUAUAAAGCUGACAUAACAAUUCAAAGGAAUCUAUUGAUUUAGCCAUAUCCAUCAUGGAAAAUAGAUUUACAAAUCAAAACUAUAAAAUUUAUCAUUUUGAAGUGUAUACAAUAGAUCACAUAGUUUUGUAUUUAUAACCAACAAAUUGGGUGUUAGUGUUACUCUUGAUGAGGUAAAGAAGAAUGAAAACCAAAUUGUUUUUUUCAGUUGUUUUUAAAAGGAUAAAUUUUGAUUGAUCGCUGAGUAAAAGCAUAUUGAAUGCUGUCGCUAGCCAAAACAUGUUGUAACUGAGCUCUAAUUUAACUUUCAUCACCUAAAACUUAGUUCUAGGUUUAAAACAACCGUCGUCUCCUAGAUUCCACCAAUAGCACAAUGGGUCAAAAGUAACUAACUAUAUGGUUAGAUGUGUGAGGUUGAGCUCAUGGUAUAUAUUUUAUAUUCUUGUCUUUAUUCUAGUUGGAAGGAGAUGGUGAUGGUUAGCGAUUUACUAGAAAGUGAGUAGCUAGUGAUGUACAAUGACGGCUUUGAAGGACGUAAGAAUAAUAUAAAAUUUAUAAUUUUUGAGUCUACCAUCGCAAACCUAAGAUUUAACCGUAUUGCUAAUUCUAGUCCUAAUUAGCACCUAACCUAAGAUUUGUACAACUAUAAUCAAGGUCUGUUUUAUUUUUCUUCAUCACGUUGUUGGCAAUAACCAUUAUACGCAUGCAGUUCCACAUGCUCCUAAACAAUAUGACAUAUUAGAUACAGUUUUAGCGGAGAUAAAUAUUAAACAUUUUAUUUAAAUAUGUGAGCGGUCCCUAAUAAAUUUCUUUAGAUCAUCAAAUUAUUUAGAUAAAGUUGUUUUUCAAUUAAAUUAGGGGAUUAAAAUUGUAAUUAAAAAAGUAGAGAGAUUAAAAUUAAGAAUCGAUUAAAAUAUGGGAUUAAAAUUGCAAAAUUAUAAAUAUAGGGACAAAAUAUUACAAAUUAGUUAAAAUAAUAAGACUAAAAUUGCGAAAUAAAUAAUAGAGAAUUAAAAUUACAAAUCAAUUAAAAUAAGAAAUUAAAACUGUAUCUAAGCUUUAUUAUUAUUAUUAUUAUUAUUAUUAUUAUUAUUAUUAUUAUUAUUAUUUAAUUUAGAUUUUUUAUUUGGAAAAAUAGAAAUGUAAUUAAUUAUUGGCAGUAUUUUUUGUUUGAUUAAUACUCCGUGCUAAUAGAUUCCAACAAAUGAUUAAGAAAGAGAGACUAGUAAAACAGAAUAUUAUAUUCGCUCUCUUUUUAAUUACUUCAUUUUUUUCAUUUCAUCUAAGUUUAUUCUUGUACAUUUUCACACUCUCAUUCUUAUUUUUGGUGUUCUGUUCUUUCCAUCUAGAGACGACGAUCUAUGACAUCAUUUGCAACUCGGGAUUAUCGACUCGUGAAACUCCAUCCACAGUGGUCUUGAAGCAUUCCUCAUGCAUGAUCCUCGAAUUUAUGGAAGGAUUGAAACUCUAUCCAUCGUUUUGAAGCAUUCCUCAUCCAUGAUCCUUAUGGAAGGACGCAUUGAAAUGGUAAACUAUUCUGUGUUUCAUCUUAACGAGAUGUAUACAUAUUUUGUUUAUUGCAAUAGUAACUCGCUCUAACUUUAUUUUUAUUAAAUUGCAACUUCAUUCCAUUUAAUCCAUAGUUAGAGAAUAGGUUAUCGAUAGUAAGAGCAUAGGGUGAAAAGCAUGUGUUUAAACAAUGUAUCAAACAUAAUUCAAUAUAUUGUAAAUGAACAAAGUAUGCGUUAAUAAAUAAAAUAAAGUUAUAAAAAAAUGGAAUGUAAUAUUAUUAUUAAUAACAAUUUUAUUUUCUAUUUAAAAAAAUAUAUAAAAAAUUAAGAGAAGUGUGAUAUAAGAAAAAAAAACUAGAAUUGAUCUUAUUUUUUGUUUAAGUGUUAUGUGUUUAUCGGUCAAUUUAUAAUUUUUAAAAAACAUAAUUAAAUGUUAUAAAAUUUUAUGUGAUUAUAAAAGAAUAAGUAUGUGUUAAUAAAUAAAAUAAAGUUAUAAAAGAAUGGAAUGUAAUAUUAUUAUUAAUAACAAUUUUAUUUUCUAUUUAAAAAAAAUAUAUAAAAAAUUAAGAGAAGUGUGAUAUAAGAAAAAAAAACUAGAAUUGAUCUUAUUUUUUGUUUAAGUGUUAUUUGUUUAUUGAUCAAUUUAUAAUUUUUAAAAAACAUAAUUAAAUGUUAUAAAAUUUUAUGUGAUUAUAAAAAUUCAAUUAUUUAAUAAAUAACAUAUAUGUAAUACAUAAGUUUAAAUUUAUAAUCACUUUAUGUUGCUAACAUAUAUAAUAUUAAUUAUCACAUGACAUAUAUGAUUAUAAGAGUCAUAAUUAAUACAUGAAUAAGGAAAGAGAAUGAAUUCUCAUGAUACAUGUUAAAUUUAAAUAAUUGUAAAAAUAAAAAAAAUUCAGUAUAUGUGUGCAAAUUUAGAUCUUGGAACAUAUACCUUUCUCUUGUCAUAUGUCGCAAGCAUCCAUUGUCUAUGUAUAUGUCUUACAUUUCAAUUUGGUUGCUGAUAACAUAUGCAACAUACACAAUUUUAUUAUUGGGUAUCUAAAAUUGGUUGGGUAAUGGUUUUAAUUUUGAAAGGUUUAUUGUCUUUCUAUGUUGUUAACAUAUGAUAAGAUAUUUUAUUGUAACCUUUCUUGGAACAGACAAUACACAUAUAAUCAGAAUAUGUUUGGGGGUAUGACGAAAAACUUGGUAAAACUAAAAAACAUUUUAAUGACAUCGGUGGAUUAUAAUGUUGAAAGUUUGACGACAAUAAAAUAAGUUUACAAUGCACGUCAAGCAUAUCGUUCAUCACUUAGAGGUAAUAGAACAUAAAUGCAACAUCUUUUGACAUUGAUGUAACACGACAAAUACAUCUAUCUAUAUAGAAAUGUAGAUGAUUCAGAUGAGUUGAGAGACAUAUUUUGGGCUCAUCCAGACGCUAUCACUCUUGUAAAUAAUUUUCACGUAGUAUUAAUUAUGGAUAACACAUACAAGACAUGUAGGUAUCAAAUGCCAUUACUUGAGAUUAUUGGUGUUACAUCUAUUGAAAUGACAUUUUGUGUGGGAUUUGCAUAUCUACAGUGUGAGCAUGCUGAUAACUUCGCGUGAACACUACAAAUGUUGAAAGAACAGAUUACAAGUGGUGAAGUUGAAGUCAUCGUUACUGAUAGAGACCUUGCUUAGAUGAACACAGUUGAAUAUGUUUUUCCAAAAGCAAUGAACUUAUUAUGCUUGUUUCAUAUAUGCAGGAAUGUCAAAGUCAG